rnacentral:rRNA from 1 species
AUUGAACGCUGGCGGCAUGCCUUACACAUGCAAGUCGAACGGCAGCACGGGAGCAAUCCUGGUGGCGAGUGGCGAACGGGUGAGUAAUAUAUCGGAACGUGCCCAGUCGUGGGGGAUAACGCAGCGAAAGCUGUGCUAAUACCGCAUACGAUCUAUGGAUGAAAGCGGGGGACCGCAAGGCCUCGCGCGAUUGGAGCGGCCGAUAUCAGAUUAGCUAGUUGGUGGGGUAAAGGCCCACCAAGGCGACGAUCUGUAGCUGGUCUGAGAGGACGACCAGCCACACUGGAACUGAGACACGGUCCAGAGUCCAACGGGAGGCAGCAGUGGGGAAUUUUGGACAAUGGGCGCAAGCCUGAUCCAGCAAUGCCGCGUGCAGGAUGAAGGCCUUCGGGUUGUAAACUGCUUUUGUACGGAACGAAACGGUGAGCUUUAAUACAGUUUGCUAAUGACGGUACCGUAAGAAUAAGUACCGGCUAACUACGUGCCAGCAGCCGCAGUAA